AACGGCCUCCAACUCGCCCUGGAGCUGUUGAAUCGUGAGAAGAUGAACACCGACCUCCUCUUUACUCGGAAAAUCAGCCAAGCGCUUCUCCAUCAAAGCAACGUAUUCAUUACUCGCCUCCAUAGUCUAAAGAAAGAAACAACAAUGAAGGUCGAACAAUUGUCAGCUAACCGGACAGAGCAUCAUGAGAAAUUACGAGACAAAAUUACCUUAGCAUUCGUGACCGCCAUCUGCACGU
rnacentral:lncRNA from 1 species